AUUGAACGCUGGCGGCAUGCCUUACACAUGCAAGUCGAACGGUAACAGGUCUUCGGAUGCUGACGAGUGGCGAACGGGUGAGUAAUACAUCGGAACGUGCCUAGUAGUGGGGGAUAACUACUCGAAAGAGUGGCUAAUACCGCAUGAGAUCUACGGAUGAAAGCAGGGGAUCGCAAGACCUUGUGCUACUAGAGCGGCCGAUGGCAGAUUAGGUAGUUGGUGGGAUAAAAGCUUACCAAGCCGACGAUCUGUAGCUGGUCUGAGAGGACGAUCAGCCACACUGGGACUGAGACACGGCCCAGACUCCUACGGGAGGCAGCAGUGGGGAAUUUUGGACAAUGGGCGCAAGCCUGAUCCAGCAAUGCCGCGUGCAGGAUGAAGGCCUUCGGGUUGUAAACUGCUUUUGUACGGAACGAAACGGCCCUUUCUAAUACAGGGGGCUAAUGACGGUACCGUAAGAAUAAGCACCGGCUAACUACGUGCCAGCCGCCGCCGUAAUAC
rnacentral:rRNA from 1 species